rnacentral:misc_RNA from 1 species
AUUUUUAUACGCGCCAAUCUCCGCUCCGUCCUCUGAUUAUAUUAUAUCCCUCCCUCUCCCAAAUACAACAAACACCCCUUUCAUGAACAUAGAAUCAAGAUUCUUCUGCUCCUAUUUGGUUAAUCCCGUGAAUAGUCCUCCUAUGUCACAAACCGCUCCUUCAACCCCAUUAUUAUAUGCAGCUGCUGUUGGCAGCGGUCUCAGCUUUAGCUGCAGCAGCAACACCGCCAGCAGCAGCAGCGAGGUUAGUGAUGAUAGCCCACCAAGAUCCUUCCGUUUUGACCUUCAAGAUGUCGAUUAUCAUCAUUAUCCAAGCAAAUCUUUAUCUGGGUCUUACUCGUAUCGCUCUCUCGCAGUACUCUCUGACCAUGUAGGAUCUGUUUCUUGCUUGGCUUUGUGUGGUGAAUUCGUCUUGAGCGCUUCACAAGGGAAGGAUAUUAUAGUUUGGCAACAGCCUGAUUUGAGGCUCUUCACGAAGUUUGGACAAGGGGAUGGUUCUGUCAAGGCUUUAGUAACAGUUGGGAACAAGGUCUUUACUGCACAUCAAGAUAGCAGGAUUAGAGUAUGGAAGGUGUCAAGAAGCUCAGAGAAUGUGUUUAGGCUUGUGGACGCACUUCCAACCACAAAGGACUAUUUAGGGAAGUUCUUGAAGCAGAGUAAUUAUGUGCAAACUAGGCGGCACCAUAAGAAAUUAUGGAUUGAACAUGCAGAUAGUAUUUCUUGUUUGACAGUUUCCAGUGGGUUUAUUUACUCUGGUUCUUGGGAUAAGACUCUUAAGGUUUGGCGGAUAUCAGACUUGAAGUGCUUGGAAUCAAUUAAGGCUCAUGACGAUGCUAUAAAUGGAUUGGUGGCUUGUAAAGGGAUUGUUUAUUCAGCAUCAGCAGAUGGGAAGAUAAAAGCUUGGGGGAAAGAGGGAAAGAACUCUCAUUCUUUGAAGGGGAUUUUGGAGGGUCAUAAAGAUAUUUCUUUUAAUUCAGUUAUUGUUUCAGAAGAUGGGAGAUGGGUAUAUGGAGGGGGCUCUGAUGGGUUUGUGAUGGGGUGGGAAGGGAGUGGUGAUUUUAUAAGUUGGAAGUUGGUGUCAGAGACAUUGGCACAUCAAAUGGCAGUUUUGUGUAUGUGCUUAGUGGGGGAGUUUUUGUGCAGUGGAUCAGCUGAUAAGAGCAUUAGUAUAUGGAAGAGAGAAGCUUAUGGUAAGCUCUGUAAAUAUGGGGUCAUAAGUGGCCAUGAAGGGCCAGUCAAGUGUUUGCAAGCAUCACCUAAUAGUGUUGGUGGUGGGUUCUUGCUCUAUAGUGGUGGCCUUGACAAAAGUGUGAGGGUAUGGUGGGUGCCCAAGCAUUCCAACAAGAUGCAAGACACCUCUACAAUGCAGAGUUCAGAGGAAAAAUCCAUCACCAUGUGUUAGUAAGAUUUUCAAGUUUUGAAAGAUGGAGCACUGAUUCCUUUUUUUAUGCGUUUUCAGUGCUUCUAAUUUGUUGUUUUAGUCAGAUUGUGUCAUAGUUAUUGAUUAAGAUCUCAAGUGUGAUGAGCAUAGGCAAAACUGCAGAGUUAAAGAAAAGAGUUGGGUAUUUUUCUUUUUACAGAUUUUGAUCAAUUUCCUUAUGUUGUUUUAGGGUUUAAGAUUUGGGUGUAUCAUAUCUUGUAGGGAAAAAGGCUUGAGGUAUACAAUUAAUAGAGUGGUGUGAGUUUUUUUUUCUUUCUUUCUAGUUUUACUUUUUACAUUUCUGAUAAUUGUAAUUAGUGUGUUGAGGAUAUAUAACAAUCAAUGAAAUUUAAUUUUGUAU